ACGGGAGGCAGCAGUGGGGAAUAUUGCGCAAUGGGGGGAACCCUGACGCAGCAACGCCGCGUGCAGGAAGAAGGUCUUCGGAUUGUAAACUGUUGUCGCGAGGGAAGAAGGAAGAUGACGGUACCUCGUGAGAAAGUCACGGCUAACUACGUGCCAGCAGCCGCGGUAAUACGUAGGUGACAAGCGUUGUCCGGAUUUACUGGGUGUAAAGGGCGCGCAGGCGGGCAGGCAAGUCAGUCGUGAAAUGCCGGGGCUCAACCCCGGAGCUGCGAUUGAAACUGCAGGUCUUGAGUAUCGGAGAGGAAAGCGGAAUUCCCAGUGUAGCGGUGAAAUGCGUAGAUAUUGGGAGGAACACCAGUGGCGAAGGCGGCUUUCUGGACGACAACUGACGCUGAGGCGCGAAAGUGUGGGGAGCAAACAGGAUUAGAUACCCUGGUA
rnacentral:rRNA from 1 species